CCUACGGGGGGCAGCAGUGAGGAAUAUUGCGCAAUGGGGGCAACCCUGACGCAGCAACGCCGCGUGGAGGAUGAAGGUCUUUGGAUUGUAAACUCCUUUUCUUGGGGAAGAGGAAGGACGGUACCCGAGGAAUCAGUCACGGCUAACUACGUGCCAGCAGCCGCGGUAAUACGUAGGUGGCGAGCGUUAUCCGGAAUUACUGGGCGUAAAGCGCACGCAGGCGGCUUUUUAAGUUUGACGUGAAAACUUCUCGCUUAACGGGGAGAGGACGUUGAAGACUGGGAGGCUUGAGGUAAUGAGAGGGGUGCGGAAUUCCCGGUGUAGUGGUGGAAUGCGUAGAGAUCGGGAGGAACACCAGUGGCGAAAGCGGCACCCUGGCAUUGACCUGACGCUCAGGUGCGAAAGCGUGGGGAGCGAACGGGAUUAGAUACCCUUGUAGU
rnacentral:rRNA from 1 species